ACCAUUUUUGAGUGAAUUGCAGAACGUCAGAUUUUUGCUGAAAUUGUGUUCGCGCGGCUUAGGGAUUUUUUAAAAAAACAAUAUUCCGCAAGUUCAGACAUCGAGGGCUAAUUCUUUUUCCGAUUAUAGAAACCCUUCUGUUUCCACCAAAAACAGUGGGAAAUCUGUGUGAAAUCUUUUUUUGAAAAAAAAACCCUAACCCACGGGCCCACAAUUUUUCAAAAAAUCUGACUUUCUGUGAUUCAUUCAAAAAUGGU